UUGUGCCUGCCUACAUUCCUGGGCCCCGCCCCUCCGCUUCGGCCCCGCCCCGGCCGGCCGCCAUGUUGGUCCUUCUGCCCAAGUCUCUCUAGCUGUAGGAGCUCUAGCUGGUUACCGCUCUCGACGCUGCCGAAUCUCUGGCCCUCUUUCUGCCCUGGUUGCACCCAGGCGGGCUGGCCAACAGCUCCCGGGGUGCCCUGUGUGUGCCUGCAAGAAAGUUCCUGCACUCCUCUGAUGAGCCUGGCAUUGGUGAAACACCUUUGUACGGUCAUCUGAGUAAAUAUUCCAGCAGCCCUCGGAGGUAGGUACUGUUGUCCCUGCUGUUCUCAUUUGGUUUCAGGUAUUAAGUUCUCUCACUCUUGGGCUUG
rnacentral:lncRNA from 1 species